rnacentral:lncRNA from 1 species
UGGGUCGUCAGGAAAAAAGUAGGAGUAAUUUUGUUCUGCUAGAUUAUAUUUUGCAAUUGAUGUUGCCUUAGUUUUAAUGACUCCAUCAUGUGGUUCACAGUGUUGCUUCAGAAAAAGUUUAAGUCUAUCACGAGAAAAUAGAUGUUUCCUCCGGCUUAGCUGAGAUGCUUUAACAAUAACAGAUUCAUACAGUUCUUUUUUAACAGGUUGGACCUUGUAUUUGAACAAAGAAGGAUCAAUUAUGGCUUUCUUCUUCCCAUUUUGUGCAGAACUACUGUGCGUUUCUGAAU